UUUGAUUUGUCUGUGUGGCAUUGUUUUGAUGUGCCUGUGUGGCAUUAUUUUGGUUGCCUAUGUGGCAUCAUUUGAUUUGCCUGUGUGGCAUUAUUUUGACUUACAUGUGUGGCAAGGUAUAUUUCUGAGCUCAUUCGGUAUGAAAUAACUCCAGCCGUUUGUUUCAGCCUAUUAUUUUAUUGGAUUAGUUUUGUUGGUUUUUGUUCAGUUCAAGUCAUUGAGUUAGUUACUUCAGUUCGCUAUUUCUUUAUUCUUUUAUUGGUUUCGUCAAUUAUGUUGAUUCAUAUAUAUUCCAUUCAGAUCCUUGGAUAUUAUAUUUUCGUUCGUACUUGUACUUGAG
rnacentral:lncRNA from 1 species